AGAGUUUGAUCAUGGCUCAGAGCGAACGCUGGCGGCAGGCCUAAAACAUGCAAGUCGAACGCCGUAGCAAUACGGAGUGGCAGACGGGUGAGUAACACGUGGGAACGUGCCCUUUGGUCCGGAACAACCCAGGGAAACUUGGGCUAAUACCGGAUAAGCCCUUACGGGGAAAGAUUUAUCGCCAAAGGAUCGGCCCGCGUCUGAUUAGCUAGUUGGUGAGGUAACGGCUCACCAAGGCUACGAUCAGUAGCUGGUCUGAGAGGAUGAUCAGCCACACUGGGACUGAGACACGGCCCAGACUCCUACGGGAGGCAGCAGUUAGGAAUCUUGGACAAUGGGCGCAAGCCUGAUCCAGCCAUGCCGCGUGAGUGAUGAAGGCCUUAGGGUUGUAAAGCUCUUUCAGCGGGGAAGAUAAUGACGGUACCCGCAGAAGAAGCCCCGGCUAACUUCGUGCCAGCAGCCGCGGUAAUACGAAGGGGGCUAGCGUUGCUCGGAAUCACUGGGCGUAAAGCGCACGUAGGCGGCUUUUUAAGUCAGGGGUGAAAUCCUGGAGCUCAACUCCAGAACUGCCUUUGAUACUGGGAAGCUCGAGUCCGGGAGAGGUGAGUGGAACUCCGAGUGUAGAGGUGAAAUUCGUAGAUAUUCGGAAGAACACCAGUGGCGAAGGCGGCUCACUGGCCCGGUACUGACGCUGAGGUGCGAAAGCGUGGGGAGCAAACAGGAUUAGAUACCCUUGUAGUCC
rnacentral:rRNA from 1 species